rnacentral:rRNA from 1 species
AUUGAACGCUGGCGGCAGGCCUAACACAUGCAAGUCGAACGGUAGCACAGAGGAGCUUGCUCCUUGGGUGACGUGUGGCGGACGGGUGAGUAAUGUCUGGGAAACUGCCCGAUGGAGGGGGAUAACUACUGGAAACGGUAGCUAAUACCGCAUAACGUCGCAAGACCAAAGAGGGGGACCUUCGGGCCUCUUGCCAUCGGAUGUGCCCAGAUGGGAUUAGCUAGUAGGUGGGGUAACGGCACACCUAGGCGACGAUCCCUAGCUGGUCUGAGAGGAUGACCAGCCACACUGGAACUGAGACACGGUCCAGACUCCUACGGGAGGCAGCAGUGGGGAAUAUUGCACAAUGGGCGCAAGCCUGAUGCAGCCAUGCCGCGUGUAUGAAGAAGGCCUUCGGGUUGUAAAGUACUUUCAGCGAGGAGGAAGGCGUUGUGGUUAAUAACCGCAGCGAUUGACGUUACUCGCAGAAGAAGCACCGGCUAACUCCGUGCCAGCCGCCGCGGUAAAAGGG